rnacentral:lncRNA from 1 species
AAAAUUAAAUAAAUAAAUAAAUAAAUAAAGCUUCAUUCUGUACAUCAAAUAUGUAUCGUCAACCAUCCAAAUAGAGUUGUUCUGAUGCACAAAUUGAAUCCAAAAUGUGUUAAUAUUUGAUGAUAUUUUGGCACAAAAUAGAAAAAAAAAAAAAGAAAAAUGGAUAAUAAUUAAAGGAGGACACGGUGGGGUCAAUGUGUGGUGGCAAAGUUGCCCCAUGUGAUGAUAAAGAGUGAUCAGUGAUGUGAGAAGUGCACAUGCCUGCCGUUGGGAUGGUGUCAUUGCUGUGUGAUUAUGUGAUGUGCAUUCCCUUAUAAAGUUUUAAUUUUUUGAAAUAAAAGCAAAAAAAAAAUCACUUGCUUUAGCCAAAUGGGUCACCUAAAAUUGACUAAAUUUGCAUCAAAAGCUUCUAAUUAACGAUGCCAUGUUACAAAGUGAAAGUCAUGUAUCAGUUGAUGUGAAGUUAUGGCAAAUUGACAAUUAUACAUGAACCAUUCUUAACUGAAAAAUCUUGACAUUUAAGUGAGUAUCUCUGGCGAGUUGAGACUCAGCUAGCAGCAUCCUUAUCAACAUGUAGUUUUAAUAUGGGACAGCAAGCAUUUUGUUUCUACAAUGAAAUGUGUUAUAUAAUGCUUGUAAAGUUGGUAAUGUCCUUGGCUAAUGAUAUAAGUGACAACUUCAUAAAGAAAAUUAUCAAAUACCCAUUAAUUUAACAUGACCGUGGUUCUCCAUUUUUUUCCCUUAAACUUGAAAACUAUAUGCAAUAGAUUUUAUUUAAAUUUUUGUGUGUGUAUGUAUAUUAUAUAUAUUAAAGAUCAAGUUAGCUUAAAAUUGUGUAUUAACUAUAUAGCGAGCAGCGACACGUGAAAACUAUCCACUAGUUAAAGAAUAAACCACCUCACGCAUGCACACACGUGGAUAGCAGUUCAAAUCCAGACUACGCUACUUGAUUUGUAGAUAUAAUUAUUAAAAAAGAAAGACCAUUUUAAUGAUUAUAUUGUGAGCAACUUCUCUCAUUAAAUUCACUAAUGAUAUAAUCACCUAAAAUAUAAAAAUAACAUUACUCUAAAGACUAGCAGGCAUAAGUUCAUGACAUAUAUAAUUAUCUUUAACAACUCUGCUUUUGACUGAUCUUCUUCAACUAACUAAUUCCAAACAUGUGUAAGGUGUGUUUGGGAUUGAGGUUGGGCACUUGGGCUGCUGUAAGCACUAAAGUAUUUGGGAAGCACUAACCGUUGUACCUCGAAUGUUAUGUUGAUAUAAUUUUUCACUUAUAUAAUGAAAAAUCUAUUAUAUCUUUA